rnacentral:rRNA from 1 species
UGGGGAAUAUUUCACAAUGGGCGCAAGCCUGAUGCAGCGACGCCGCGUGGGGGAUGAAGGCCUUCGGGUUGUAAACUCCUUUCGCUAGGGACGAAGCCUAUGGUGACGGUACCUGAAGAAGAAGCACCGGCUAACUACGUGCCAGCAGCCGCGGUAAUACGUAGGGUGCGAGCGUUGUCCGGAAUUACUGGGCGUAAAGAGCUCGUAGGUGGUUUGUCGCGUCGUCUGUGAAAUCCCGGGGCUUAACUUCGGGCGUGCAGGCGAUACGGGCAUAACUUGAGUGCUGUAGGGGAGACUGGAAUUCCUGGUGUAGCGGUGAAAUGCGCAGAUAUCAGGAGGAACACCAAUGGCGAAGGCAGGUCUCUGGGCAGUAACUGACGCUGAGGAGCGAAAGCAUGGGUAGCGAACAGG